CCUGCCACCUGCUUCUCACUAACACACACUGGGGAUGAUGACAGGAAGCAGGAAUAAAGGAUCCUAAGCAAUACUUACCUAUAUUGGUGAUAGAUCAGUGUCUGGGCCCAUCAAUCAGAAGUAACCUCCAGCUGGCCUUGCUGCCAGCCAGGAAGAGGAUGGAUGCUGUGAGUACAGCCUGCCACGGGCUCUCUACUCCCAUCUGCAUGUACCACUCUGUCGUCAGUGUUGGCACGGCCCUCGCCAUGAUGACAGCCUUAGAGAAGAGGCACUCUCCUACAGUCCACUCCCUUCAUCACCCACGCCACACCAGCCAGAGAGACAUUGGACCAAUCCUGUCAGUCCACUUAACAAACGCAGAGGGACAGCGGUAGGGGUGGACCAUGCUGUGUUGAUGGAGUGGGUGAGAACAGCAAGCUGGCAAUGCAUCUACCCUGUAAUGUUUUAUAAAACAGGCGCUCCCAUCUCCAUCCAACAAGCUGGCACAAGACUGUGUUGUUAAAAAGGAGGGGUUUUGAACCGUGUUCUUCCUUGUCUAAUUUUAAAAGGCCUAAUUUAGACGAAGCCUAUGAAAAAUAUAUGUGAUCUUUUAAUUCCAUUUUCCAGUUGAAGAAAAUGUCAAUCUCACUAUGACUUCUUUAUUCAACAAACCAACUUUGUUUUGGAGACUGUCCCAUCCGAAUUCAUAUUUCUCUAAUCAGACCACAGAGCCACCUAUAAAAGAGACGUUUUCCUACGUUUGCGAGCCCAGUUAAAAGUGUAUCCUUUGGAGUUGGCUUGUUGUUGUGUGUACCUAUGGUUGAAGCUCAAUUGAUCUGAUUUAAACAAAACCAAGCAGCCCUUGAGUAAAAUAAACCCUAAUGGAAAAGAUAGAGAUAUACAGUAUUAACCACAACACAUCGAAAGGGACAUGAAUCUGUUUGGGUGGAUUGUAAUUUAGUCAAACAUGGCUGGCCUCCAUAUACAACUUUGAUAGUAUAAUCAGUGGCUGAACACUUGCUCAGAGGGAUUACAAUGUAUAUGAUCAACACAAGGUACCUUAUUUGACACCCUCUACAGCAAGGGGACCAGCUCUGUAAAUACAAUAGGCAAUGGGCUACAUUAAAAAAUCAUGGAAACUGAA